CAAAAAAGUAAACAAACAAAACUGGUAAGAAAGUGUAGAGGCUAGAAAAGCAACUUCAGCUGUGUCAGAAGUAGCACACUGAAGAAGUCCUUCAGAAUGAGCAGCUGGGCAGCGACCAUGACUAGGUGGGGGAGCUGCAGCUGAUGCUAAUUAUUAGUAAUGGUGUCAGCUGCAAAACAGAAUAGAGAUUGGAAGCUUGGUGGGGAGUAAGUUUUACACCUGAAAUAGCUGGAAGGGAGAGGCAGAGGAACAGUUGAACUUUUUUUGUGCUUACAGUAAGCUAUCAGAACAAAAAGAAAGGCAGGAGGUGUAAGGUAAGCUAUUGUAACUAGGCUUCUAUAAAAAGGAAAAAAGCUGAUGGAAUUACUGGCUGUGGCAGUAAAAGCUGUUGUGUGAUAUCUAAGGGAGUAUAUUAAGAAGAGCUUUACUUCCAACCGCAGGACACUGGAAACAAUAUUGGAGGGACAAGUGCCCUCUUUCCCCUGUCAUUUCCAUCUGCUCUUGCCACGAGAGCUGUGGUGAAUGGACUAACCAGGGGAAAAAGGUAGACACUUUGUUGACCUCAGCCUUAAAACAGCUUCUGGUGGUGAGGCUUCUGCAAUGGCAGGAAGAUGAAACUAAGAAAAAACAUGAUUGUUGGAGGAAAAAAAUGAGACUAAAACAACACAGUCUUCCUUCUGGUUGGGUAUAAUUUGAACAGAACACUUCACGUCAACUCCUUGGUUGUCUUGUUAUUAGGACUGGACUCUAAGCAGACAGUUAAGAGUGUGGUGAGGCUUCCUUUUAUCCUUUGCAUGAUUUUUUUUUCUGAGGGAGGUAACGUGAUUCAUUGGAUUUUGUAAUUUCAGUGUGCAUCACAGCUUUAAGGGGAAGUGGGGGGGGCUGUAACAUGAAAAGAGUCUUUGCAUAUUUCUAGCUGGAAAAUUCUUAAUACUGCUUAAUUUUUUUUCCUCUACAUCAAAUCUUAACAUGUCCAGAUCUGAAGCACUAUUUAAGUGCUUUUUAUAUUGUUGUUAAACCACCUUGAAAGUAGAUUUUUUUUUUUUUUUUGGCUGCUGCACUGCAAUUAAGAGAAACUAAGUGUGAGCAACGCCAUAAGAUCAGCUAUCAUAAAUGAAUUUUGACAUAGAGCACUACAAAUUGCAUUGUGUAUUUCCAUACUGUUGGUUACCACUUCAAUAUUCUGAGCACACAUUUUUGGAAUAUGUUACUAUUUAAACACAUCAUCAUGGUGCAAAGCAUCCUUCGUGCUUGUCUUUGAUGUUACCC
rnacentral:lncRNA from 1 species